AUUGAACGCUGGCGGCAGGCCUAACACAUGCAAGUCGAACGAGUGGCGGACGGGUGAGUUAUGUCUGGGAAACUGCCUGAUGGAGGGGGAUCACUACUGGAAACUGUAGCUAAUACCGCCUACCAUAACCUGUUCCCAGUUGGGAUUAGCUUGGUGGGGGGGUAACGGCUCACCAAGACGACGAUCCCUAGCUGGUCUGAGAGGAUGACCAGCCACACUGGAACUGAGACACGGUCCAGACUCCUACGGGAGGCAGCAGUGGGGAAUAGUGGACAAUGGGCGCAAGCCUGAUGCAGCCAUGCCGCGUGUAUGAAGAAGGCCUUCGGGUUGUAAAGUACUUUCAGCGGGGAGGCGUUACCCGCAGAAGAAGCACCGGCUAACUCCGUGCCAGCAGCCGCGGUAAUUC
rnacentral:rRNA from 1 species